rnacentral:rRNA from 1 species
UACGUAGGGUGCGAGCGUUGUCCGGAAUUAUUGGGCGUAAAGAGCUCGUAGGCGGUGUGUCGCGUCGGUCGUGAAAACUUUCAGCUUAACUGGGAGCUUGCGGUCGAUACGGGCAUCACUGGAGUUCGGCAGGGGAGACUGGAAUUCCUGGUGUAGCGGUGAAAUGCGCAGAUAUCAGGAGGAACACCGGUGGCGAAGGCGGGUCUCUGGGCCGAUACUGACGCUGAGGAGCGAAAGCGUGGGGAGCGAGCAGG